rnacentral:rRNA from 1 species
UACGGGGGGAGCAAGCGUUGUUCGGAUUUACUGGGCGUAAAGGGCGCGUAGGCGGCCACCGCAAGUCAAUUGUGAAAUCUCCGGGCUUAACUCGGAAAGGUCAACUGAUACUGCGGGGCUAGAGUGCGGUAGGGGAGACUGGAAUUCCUGGUGUAGCGGUGAAAUGCGCAGAUAUCAGGAGGAACACCGGUGGCGAAGGCGGGUCUCUGGGCCGUAACUGACGCUGAGGAGCGAAAGCGUGGGGAGCGAACAGG